GGCGGUGUAGCUCAGUUGGUUAGAGCAGCGGAAUCAUAAUCCGCGUGUCGGGGGUUCGAGUCCCUCCACCGCUAC
rnacentral:tRNA from 3 species